GGGCACAGAGGUUGGUAUGUUGGAGGGUCCAGUAGACCUCAUUUCUUUUGUUGGCAGGGUGUAAUAUAGGAAUAAUGUCAUGAUCUGCUGACCAAACACGCUUGUAUAGCUAGACCAACUUCAUGAAAAUGGAAACCUUGGGAUCAUAUCAUUUUAGAAAAAAGUCUACUUAACCUCCUCGACUACUAGUGGUUGUCUACAUCACCCAUUCACCUAUAAAACAAGGUUUUAUAGUUUGAGGCAAUGAAUAACUAGUUUUAUAGUUGAGGAGGUGAAGUACACUAUCAACGAAAAUUGAGGGGGUCAAGUCGACUUCAGGCAUAUUAUUUUUCAUGCAUGUAAUAUUUACACUGCUAGUAGCUAGCCCCGUGCGUACACCUAAUAAACUACAUUUCGUUUUACCUAAAACAUCAGUAUUCUCUAGCCGAUGCCUUUCUUUCUCUGGUUCAAAACAAGCAACAGUUAGCUAACUUGGUGCACUUAAAUGGCAUGUGUGUACGUAUUCAUGUUGGAAGCUCCCUGAGAACAAGCUGUGCAGCUUACAAAAUGAUUUGUUUUUUUUUUGCUAUUUCUUCAUUCUUUUAUCAAUUUCAUCAGAGCUAGGGCAUGCUAAUAAGAUUGACCAAAGGAACAGAUAUCCUGUGAACUAGUGUUUAGUACACAAUGUGAUAGCUACCACGUUUUUACAUGUGUAGUAGGUUUCCUAACAUUUGAGAGGUUGAAGGUCUAAUUGCUAGGCCAACUAGACUAAGUAUCACGUAAUGUUCACUAAGAGAGUUUAUUGGUUGGUAGUUGCUGACCAAGCUUUUGAACACAUAUUAUUACACUACGUUGAGCUACAUGUAUCCAGGGUGCCAUAUGUUUUUCGAGAAAAGAAACACGUGGGUGAGCCCCAUCUUUACUUCCAUCGUUCUAAUCACUUAUAUUGAGCACUCUAAUAUAUCUGCAUUCUACUUCAUUCGAGCUCCCAAUUUACAUCAACUCCAUGUCAGACAUAUGAACUCCUCAGUCAACAAUCCACACUCUUAGGCAUUUGCAAUGUCAGAGCCGAUGUCAGCCCCUCUCGGUGCUUUUAUAGCACCCGCAUUGGCACUGUCUUAAUAAUUUGGUCGGACCCUGCAUUGAGCAGCUAGCUGAAGCAGUGCAGCAGUGGCUCAGGGUUUGCCACAUAUUACCACAUAUUGAUUAGUAUUACAUACAUGCCGAGCAAGAACUUGAUGGAAACCUACAUAUGUCUCCAUGCAAGUUUAUAAAUUGUGUAUAUACCAUAUCCAAAAGGCUGACAUAUUCGAGAACCCUAUGCAGUCCAACAACAGUGGCACUACUUAGAACUGAACUGUCUAAGAAUGGAAGGCAUCAGUAAUGCGGUAAUCCAUAUAAGAAAAGGUUACAGGGCCACUACCUGGAAGCAAUGUGCAAAAGGUCAUUGAUGCCACGAAAAGAUACACUUGGUUUCACCAUUACUCCCAUUCUGCCCACUCUGAUUGCUACAUGUUGCCAAGCUCGGCAUAAACCACCACCACAGGGCACCAGCUAUUGUGAUCUAUGUGCGAUGCACAGGUAUGGAAAGUGGAUAUGCACAUGCAACUGUGGUUGUUCAGGAGUUUUUGUACAGCUGGGCUUGUGGUUGUGCGUUAUGCCUGAGGUCAUAGCUGCAAUGCUUGUCAUCAGAUUGGCACUCUUCAUUAUUAUUGUAUAGUCGAGCGGCUUGGCUUGGCACACAAAAGUACACAGCAGUUGACUUCUUCGCCUCUCAUGGCUGGCAGUCCUUUACUUUCUGUAUUGGAUAAUAAUGUUAAACAUUUUGUUAUGUUUAGAACUUGGGUGGCCCUUCUCAUGGCUAAAGCCAGAACAUUUUUCCUUAAAAAGAUGAAUUAUUGCCAAGGUUUAUCAUGUUACCAGAAAGUGUUUUAUUGGUUUAUUCAUUUACAUUUG
rnacentral:lncRNA from 1 species